rnacentral:rRNA from 1 species
GAUGAACGCUGGCGGCGUGCCUAAUACAUGCAAGUCGAGCGAACGGACGAGAAGCUUGCUUCUCUGAUGUUAGCGGCGGACGGGUGAGUAACACGUGGAUAACCUACCUAUAAGACUGGGAUAACUUCGGGAAACUGGAGCUAAUACCGGAUAAUAUUUUGAACCGCAUGGUUCAAAAGUGAAAGACGGUCUUGCUGUCACUUAUAGAUGGAUCCGCGCUGCAUUAGCUAGUUGGUAAGGUAACGGCUUACCAAGGCAACGAUGCAUAGCCGACCUGAGAGGGUGAUCGGCCACACUGGAACUGAGACACGGUCCAGACUCCUACGGGAGGCAGCAGUAGGGAAUCUUCCGCAAUGGGCGAAAGCCUGACGGAGCAACGCCGCGUGAGUGAUGAAGGUCUUCGGAUCGUAAAACUCUGUUAUUAGGGAAGAACAUAUGUGUAAGUAACUGUGCACAUCUUGACGGUACCUAACCAGAAAGCCACGGCUAACUACGUG